rnacentral:rRNA from 1 species
UACGUAGGGGGCAAGCGUUGUCCGGAAUCAUUGGGCGUAAAGAGCGUGUAGGCGGCCCGGUAAGUCCGCUGUGAAAGUCCAGGGCUCAACCCUGGAAUGCCGGUGGAAACUGUCGGGCUAGAGUCCGGAAGAGGCGAGUGGAAUUCCUGAUGUAGCGGUGAAAUGCGCAGAUAUCAGGAGGAACACCAAUGGCGAAGGCAGCUCGCUGGGACGGUACUGACGCUGAGACGCGAAAGCGUGGGGAGCAAACAGG